rnacentral:rRNA from 1 species
UCGAGAAUCUUCGGCAAUGGGCGAAAGCCUGACCGAGCGACGCCGCGUGCGGGAUGAAGGCCUUCGGGUUGUAAACCGCUGUCGGAGGGGAUGAAAUGCCGAUGGGUACUCCCAACGGCUUGACUGAUCCUCGGAGGAAGGGUGGGCUAAGUUCGUGCCAGCAGCCGCGGUAAGACGUACCACCCAAACGUUAUUCGGAAUCACUGGGCUUAAAGAGUCCGUAGGCGGCUCGGUAAGUUGGAUGUGAAAUACCUCGGCUCAACCGAGGAACUGCAUUCAAAACUACCGAGCUUGAGAGAGACAGAGGUAAGCGGAACUGAUGGUGGAGCGGUGAAAUGCGUUGAUAUCAUCAGGAACACCGGUGGCGAAAGCGGCUUACUGGGUCUCUUCUGACGCUGAGGGACGAAAGCUAGGGGAGCGAACG